GACGAACGCUGGCGGCGUGCUUAACACAUGCAAGUCGAACGGAAAGGCCCUGCUUUUGUGGGGUGCUCGAGUGGCGAACGGGUGAGUAACACGUGAGUAACCUGCCCUUGACUUUGGGAUAACUUCAGGAAACUGGGGCUAAUACCGGAUAGGAGCUCCUGCUGCAUGGUGGGGGUUGGAAAGUUUCGGCGGUUGGGGAUGGACUCGCGGCUUAUCAGCUUGUUGGUGGGGUAGUGGCUUACCAAGGCUUUGACGGGUAGCCGGCCUGAGAGGGUGACCGGCCACAUUGGGACUGAGAUACGGCCCAGACUCCUACGGGAGGCAGCAGUGGGGAAUAUUGCACAAUGGGCGGAAGCCUGAUGCAGCAACGCCGCGUGCGGGAUGACGGCCUUCGGGUUGUAAACCGCUUUCGCCUGUGACGAAGCGUGAGUGACGGUAAUGGGUAAAGAAGCACCGGCUAACUACGUGCCAGCAGCCGCGGUGAUACGUAGGGUGCGAGCGUUGUCCGGAUUUAUUGGGCGUAAGGGCUCGUAGGUGGUUGAUCGCGUCGGAAGUGUAAUCUUGGGGCUUAACCCUGAGCGUGCUUUCGAUACGGGUUGACUUGAGGAAGGUAGGGGAGAAUGGAAUUCCUGGUGGAGCGGUGGAAUGCGCAGAUAUCAGGAGGAACACCAGUGGCGAAGGCGGUUCUCUGGGCCUUUCCUGACGCUGAGGAGCGAAAGCGUGGGGAGCGAACAGGCUUAGAUACCCUGGUAGUCCACGCUGUAAACGGUGGGUACUAGGUGUGGGGUCCAUUCCACGGGUUCCGUGCCGUAGCUAACGCUUUAAGUACCCCGCCUGGGGAGUACGGCCGCAAGGCUAAAACUCAAAGGAAUUGACGGGGCCCCGCACAAGCGGCGGAGCAUGCGGAUUAAUUCGAUGCAACGCGUAGAACCUUACCUGGGUUUGACAUGGAUCGGGAGUGCUCAGAGAUGGGUGUGCCUCUUUUGGGGUCGGUUCACAGGUGGUGCAUGCCUGUCGUCAGCUCGUGUCGUGAGAUGUUGGGUUAAGUCCCGCAACGAGCGCAACCCUUGUUCACUGUUGCCAGCACGUUAUGGUGGGGACUCAGUGGAGACCGCCGGGGUCAACUCGGAGGAAGGUGGGGAUGACGUCAAGUCCUCAUGCCCCUUAUGUCCAGGGCUUCACGCAUGCUACAAUGGCUGGUACAGAGAGUGGCGAGCCUGUGAGGGUGAGCGAAUCUCGGAAAGCCGGUCUCAGUUCGGAUUGGGGUCUGCAACUCGACCUCAUGAAGUCGGAGUCGCUAGUAAUCGCAGAUCAGCAACGCUGCGGUGAAUACGUUCCCGGGGCU
rnacentral:rRNA from 1 species